UGAGGGAAUAUUUGGGGGGCAAUGGGCGAAAGCCUGACCCAGCAACGCCGCGUGAAGGAAGACGGUUUUCGGAUUGUAAACUUCUUUUAAGAGGGACGAUAAUGACGGUACCUCUUGAAUAAGCCACGGCUAACUACGUGCCAGCAGCCGCGGUAAUACGUAGGCGGCAGCGUUGUCCGGAUUUACUGGGUGUAAAGGGCGAGUAGGCGGACCUGCAAGUCAGAUGUGAAAUCCCCGGGCUUAACCCGGGAACUGCAUUUGAAACUGUAGGCCUUGAGUGAUGGAGAGGCAGGCGGAAUUCCCGGUGUAGCGGUGGAAUGCGUAGAUAUUAGGAGGAACACCAGUGGCGAAGGCGGCUUUCUGGACUGACAAUGACGCUGAGGCUCGAAAGCGUGGGGAGCAAACAGGAUUAGAUACCCUGGUAGU
rnacentral:rRNA from 1 species